UACGAAGGGGGCUAGCGUUGCUCGGAAUCACUGGGCGUAAAGGCGCGUAGGCGGCCAUUCAAGUCGGAGGUGAAAGCCCAGGGCUCAACCCUGGAAUUGCCUUCGAUACUGUUUGGCUAGAGACCGGAAGAGGUAAGUGGAACUGCGAGUGUAGAGGUGAAAUUCGUAGAUAUUCGCAAGAACACCAGUGGCGAAGGCGGCUUACUGGUCCGGUUCUGGACGCUGAGGCGCGAAAGCGUGGGGAGCAAACAGG
rnacentral:rRNA from 1 species